rnacentral:tRNA from 1 species
UAAACUUUAAGUUAUAUAAACUAAGGGCCUUCAAAGCCUUAAAAAAGACAAUCUUAAGUUUAA